rnacentral:lncRNA from 1 species
CGGACUCGAGGCUCGGCGCAGGGGCUCCUACUGGCGGCGAGGGUGGGCCCGGAGCCAGUGCGAGCGGAGACGGAGCCAAAGACGGAGACUUCACGGCGGGAGCAGGAGCUGGAACCGGAGCUGCAAGCGGCGCCGGUGGUGGAACGGCAGGAGGUGGAGUUGCGGGUGGUGGUGUGGCCGGUGGUGGAGAAGCCGGAGGAGGAGAUGCUGGAGGAGGAGAUGCCGGUGGUGGGGAGGCUGGUGGGGGAGUUGCAGGAGGUGGGGUGGCGGGCGGGGGAGAUGAUACGGGAGGAGGAGUGGAAACUGGGGGUGGUGCCGCGGUGACGGGGGGUGGUGCAGAG